CCUACGGGUGGCAGCAGUGGGGAAUAUUGCACAAUGGGCGAAAGCCUGACGCAGCAACGCCGCGUGAGGGAUGAAGGCCUUCGGGUCGUAAAGCUCUGUCUUCAAGGAAGAUAAGGACGGUACUUGAGGAGGAAUCCCUGGCAAACUCCGUACAAGCAGCCGCGGUAACACGAGGGGGGCUGGGGUUAUCGGGAACGACGGGGCGAAAGGGGUGUGUAGGUGGAUUCUAAAGUCAGCGGUAAAAGCCUACGGUUCAACCGUAGGAAGCCUUUGAAACUGGGGAACUUGAGUGUGGGAGAGGAAAGUGGAAUUCCUGGUGUAGCGGUGAAAUGCGUAGAUAUCAGGAGGAACACCAGUGGCGAAGGCGGCUCUCUGGACUGUAACUGACGCUGAGGCGCGAAAGCGUGGGUAGCAAACAGGAUUAGAUACCCCAGUAGUC
rnacentral:rRNA from 1 species